CAGUCGGACGGUAACGGGUAAGUACUUGUACUUAUGCUGACGAGUGGCGGACGGGUGAGUAAUGCUUGGGAAUCUGUCUUAUGGAGGGGGAUAACGACGGGAAACUGUCGCUAAUACCGCGUAGAGUCGGGAGACGAAAGUGCGGGACUUAAUGGCCGCAUGCCAUGAGAUGAGCCCAAGUGUGAUUAGGUAGUUGGUGGGGUAAAGGCCUACCAAGCCGACGAUCGCUAGCUGGUCUGAGAGGAUGGCCAGCCACACCGGGACUGAGACACGGCCCGGACUCCUACGGGAGGCAGCAGUGGGGAAUAUUGCGCAAUGGGGGCAACCCUGACGCAGCCAUGCCGCGUGAAUGAAGAAGGCCUUCGGGUUGUAAAGUUCUUUCGGUGGUGAGGAAGGGAUGUUGUUUAAUAGAUAACAUCAUUGACGUUAACUACAGAAGAAGCACCGGCUAACUCCGUGCCAGCAGCCGCGGUAAUACGGAGGGUGCGAGCGUUAAUCGGAAUAACUGGGCGUAAAGGGCACGCAGGCGGACCUUUAAGUGAGGUGUGAAAUCCCCGGGCUUAACCUGGGAAUUGCAUUUCAUACUGGGGGUCUGGAGUACUUUAGGGAGGGGUAGAAUUCCACGUGUAGCGGUGAAAUGCGUAGAGAUGUGGAGGAAUACCGAAGGCGAAGGCAGCCCCUUGGGGAUGUACUGACGCUGAUGUGCGAAAGCGUGGGGAGCAAACAGGAUUAGAUACCCUGGUAGUCCACGCUGUAAACGAUGUCGAUUUGGGGAUUGGGGUUUAGCCUUGGUGCCCGAAGCUAACGUGAUAAAUCGACCGCCUGGGGAGUACGGCCGCAAGGUUAAAACUCAAAUGAAUUGACGGGGGCCCGCACAAGCGGUGGAGCAUGUGGUUUAAUUCGAUGCAACGCCGAAGAACCUUACCUACUCUUGACAUCCAUGGAAUCCUGUAGAGAUACGGGAGUGCCCUUUGGGAACCAUGAGACAGGUGCUGCAUGGCUGUCGUCAGCUCGUGUUGUGAAAUGUUGGGUUAAGUCCCGCAACGAGCGCAACCCUUAUCCUUUGUUGCCAGCGACUUGGUCGGGAACUCAAAGGAGACUGCCGGUGAUAAACCGGAGGAAGGUGGGGAUGACGUCAAGUCAUCAUGGCCCUUACGAGUAGGGCUACACACGUGCUACAAUGGCGUAUACAGAGGGUAACCAACCGGUGAUGGGGAGUGAUCUCAAAAAGUACGUCUAGUUCGGAUG
rnacentral:rRNA from 1 species